CCAAGCCCCCACACGGCCACUUCGUGUCUCUCUCCCUCGCAUCGCUCGAACCCUACCCGGCGGCGGCGGCGGCAGCAGCAGGAGCCAGGGAGCGGUGGCGGCUGGUCUCCGGGGCACCGGGCACACAGGCUGCAAGCGGCGGUGCCUUGCUGGUGGACAGGCUUGGCGAGGCGCGCACGGCGCGAGGAGGGCACAGGGCAACUGACCAGCGGCCGCCGGCGGGUCGGAGCCGAAGCCAGCCGCGGCUGCCGCGCGGGGAGACGAGAGCGGGCAGUGGCGCAGUGCGGCACUGCGACACCAGGCACAUGCGCACGGCGACCGCGGCACCGCAGCAGGCAGCUCGCGCGCCGCCUCUGCUCAAAAUUGGACAAUUCUAAGGACUUUGAUACGGGCAUGGAGGAAAAUGAAAGAAUGGAGGGCCGCCGCAUAGUGGCCCAUUACUUGCAAGUGAUACAGAACGUGCAUUGGUGAAGAUAUUCUUGUUUGGCACUGGACCAGAUAGUUUGUUGAAUGAAAGGUUUAGACUCCUAAGAAGCAUGAAGCUCCCAAGGAAUUCGGGGAUGGGUCCUGAUAGUUUGUUGUUUGAUAGGUCCAACACUUCUAGGCCUUUCAUUGCUUUGAGAUCAUUGGGGAUUUGUCCAUGGAGGAGAUUUCCUUGAAAGUAAAGGAAUUGCAUUUCAAGGCAUCUUCCAAUUGUUCCUGGAAUUUCACCUGAUAAUUUAUUUGAUGAGAGAUCAAUUUUGACAAGGUUGACCAAACGCCCAAUUUGUAGAGGAAUAGGACCAGUUAAUGCAUUAUUGGAGAGGUCAAACAAUUCGGUUAGGGAGGAAAUGCUGACAAUCUCUUCUGGGAUUUGGCCACUAAGGAGAUUCUGUGAUAUAUCAAAAUAAGUCACCGUGCUAAGGUUUCCAAGAGUUGCUGGAAUUCUACCAUCAAGAUAGUUGGAGGACAAAUUAAACCAAUUCAAUUGUGUGAGAUUUCCUAGAGACGGCGGGAUCUCCCCAUGAAAUGAAUUUUGCUCUAAGCAUAGAUCAUGGAGUUGAGUCAGCUUUCCAAUAUCUGAAGGUAUGGUUCCUGUGAAGAGGUUAUAUCCAAGCGCAAGGGAUUUGAGUUUGGAGUACCUUCCUAUUGCUUUUGGUAUGUGCCCGGUGAUUUGGUUUCCCUGAAGCCACAUGUACUCUAGCUCUAGAGAAAGAUUUGCGAUUGUAUCUGGCAAAGUGCCCGAAAGGUUGUUUGUUUCAAGACCAAUGGUUUUCAACUUUUUGCAAUUAGCUAAGGAAGUUAGGAAAUCCCAAUCUUUUGGAUCCGUAGCUUGGAGCUCAUUGUCGCUUACAUCAAACACCACCAAAACUCCGUUUAUACCAAUGUUUGGGGGGAUUCUGCCUUGGAACCUGUUGCCAUUGAGGUUGAGUGUUUGAAGCCGAGAUAUAUUUGACAAAGAAAAUGGUAUUGGGCCUUCAAAUCGGUUGCCGAGUGCAUUAAAUAUUCUUAGAUUGGGAAGCAUGAAACCCAUAUCUGGAGGUAGAGAACCUGAGAGGUUGUUGUUACCCACAUCAAAGACCUCAAGUGAUGACAUGUUGAACAAUGACGGAGGAAUGGUACCCUCUAGGACAUUUCCUGCUACCCCAAGAUGUUGAAGGUGAGCUAGCUCGGACAAGGGUGGUGGGACAUGGCCACUUAUAAUGUUCUGUCCAAUGUUCAAAUAUAUGAGCCUAGUCAAAUUCCCCAACCACUCCGGGACCUCCCCAUGCACGGAGUUACUAGCGAUGCCGAACACGGUGAGCGCGGUGAGGUUGGCGAACGAAGAAGGGAUGAGACCCGAGAUGUUGUUCUUCUCCAUGCUGAGAACAGCGAGCCUCGACAGGUGGCCCAUGGCGGGAGGAACGGCGCCGGACAGGAAGUUGCCACUCAGGUUGAGGUGGCAGAGCACGGAGCAGCCAGCAAGGCUAGGAGGGAUCUCGCCUUCAAGCUUGUUGUGCGAGAGAUCAAGCAAGUUGAGCUGGGUGAGGUUACCUAGGUGUGGCGACAAGGUGCCGACGAGGCCUAGUCCCGGUAGGUGCAGGGCAGCCACGCGUGGGGGGAAACUGCUGGUGCACGUCACCCCGGUCCAUCUGCAGAAACCGUGGGUGCCGUUGUUGAGGGUGCUGUUGUCGAGGGCAUCCCAGGAAGACAGGGCACCCGUGGGGUCCUCGCUGAUGAAGGAUUUGAGCGAGAGAAGCGUGGUGAGGUCAUUGUUGUCUGGGCUGGAGCUGCUAGCGUUGGUGGUGAAGAACAGGAGGAGGUAGGAGAUGAAGCUGAGAAGAGCAGGCAGCAGGCGGAGGCGCUGCUGUCGUCUACUCUUCAUGGCUGCACAGUAUGUAGGAUCGGAGCAAGAGCAAGCAGCUAGCUGGUGGUAGGUCUCUGCUUGAUGGCCACAUGGUGCGAGGGAUCAAGGAUUUAUAUAUAUAUAUGCCAAUUACUCAAUUAGUGAGGUGUCUGUCGUCUGAAUAGAGAGGGAGCCGUCAAGUCAAGGCCGACGUCGUCGUGCCUCUCAUCGUGGAGACACAAAGAUAUGCCUUUCGGUCCAUUCUUCAUAGUGGAAGCCUCUUUAUGUUAAUGCUUUACCUUUGGGUUGCUUUCCCGGCAACACGUAUGGAUCAUAUGAUUCCUAAUAUACUUGACCGGCCACAGACACCAAUAGAAACGUGUGGGGUGUCGAGCCAGCUGUCUCUAGUCGUUUUGUUCACUUCAGAUUUUCACUCGGUCAUUGAGUGAAGAGGUCGGAACAUUUUUCCUUUAUCUAAAAAGAGACAUUCCCUCGGUU